rnacentral:tRNA from 1 species
GGUGGCUCAGUGGUAGGGUGCUUGCCUUGAAUGCAUGAGGCUCUGGGUUCGAUUCCUCAGCACCA